UACGUAGGGGGCUAGCGUUGUCCGGAAUCAUUGGGCGUAAAGAGCGUGUAGGCGGUCCGGUAAGUCCGCUGUGAAAGUCGGGGGCUCAACCCUCGAAUGCCGGUGGAUACUGUCGGGCUAGAGUGCGGAAGAGGCGAGUGGAAUUCCUGGUGUAGCGGUGAAAUGCGCAGAUAUCAGGAGGAACACCUGUGGCGAAGGCGGGUCUCUGGGCCGAUACUGACGCUGAGGAGCGAAAGCGUGGGGAGCGAACAGG
rnacentral:rRNA from 1 species